UGAGUAACGCGUAGAUCUAGCUUCAGGUCGGGACAACACUUGGACAGAUUGUAAUACGGAUAUGCUACGGGUAAAAGGCUUGCUGACUGAAGAAGAGCUUGCGUCCGAUUAGCUAGUUGGUGGGGUAAAGGCUUACCAAGGCGGCGAUCGGUAGCUGGUCUGAGAGGAUGACCAGCCACACUGGGACUGAGACAAGGCCCAGACUCCUACGGGAGGCAGCAGUGGGGAAUUUUCCGCAAUGGGCGAAAGCCUGACGGAGCAAUACCGCGUGAGGGAACGAAGAGCUCUUGGGUUGUAAACCUCUUUUCUCAGGGAAUAAC
rnacentral:rRNA from 1 species